GAGUUAUAGCAUUUUGACUGAAGCAACUGUUUUAGUUUGAAAAAAUGAAUGAAAAAAAAAUGAAUGAAAAGUAAAUUUCAUCAAAAUGCAUUGAUUUUUCUCUGAAAAAAAAAAAGCUAUUGAAGCUAGGCUUGGCUUGAAAAGCAUCAGCCGUAGUGGUUAUGCUAAAUUUAAACAAGGUGAAAUGAGAACUGAGGACGAUGCACGCUGUGGACGCCCCAAAAAGGCUGUUAUAGAAGAAAACAUCAAAAAAGUCCACAAAAAAUAUUUUGGAUAACCACCUCAAGAGGAUGCUGGCUGGACAGAAAUUUUGUGACGAUGAAGAGGUAAUCGCCGAAACUGAAGCCUAUUUUGAGGCCAGAGUCAAAUGGUACUAUAAAAAUGGUAUUGAAAAAUUGUAUGACCGCUAUAAUAGUUGUAUCGCCCUCGAAGGCUAUAUUGAAUAAUAAAAUGAAUUUCUAAAAAAAAA